AGCCAACCACCAUGGCACAUGUGUACCUAUGUAACAAACCUCCAUGUGCUUCACCUGUACCCCAGAAUUUAAAGUAUGCUAAUAAAAAGAAGUGCUUCAGUGGCUCAGAAUCUGGCAUAAUAUUUUAUUUUUAUCCAAUUUCAGUAAACAUUAUUGAGCAGCUUGUAGGCAUCAGGCUCCAUGAUAGGGAUGCAAGCAUGUAAGACCUCUGUCCAGCAACUGAGAGGUAAAACUACAAUGAGAAAGAUAGACUGGUAACUUAGAUUUAUUUUUAAAUAAUAGCUUUUUGAGAUAUUAUUUACUUACCCUUUAGUCCACUGACUCUGUUUUUAAAGGAGAUGAUUAAUGCAUUCACUCAACAGAUAUUGAGCAUCUGACAUGUGCCAGAGACUUUGUAGGUGAUCAGGUGAUGGAGAUUGACACUGGGCCUAUCACAAAAUGUGUAUUGACAGACAGUUUUCUAUAUGGUGCUAUAGACCAGUGUUCAGGGUCAGCAGAAGGCACUCUGGAAGCAUGUUCAGGGACAAAGCAAUCCUAGUCCUAGAAGGUCUGAGAAGGUUUCCUAUGAUCAUGUCCCUCUCCUGCCCUAACACCCUGAAGGCAUCCAAUCUGCACCAAACAGAGGUUUGACAAAGCUGAAGGAGUUUGCUAGGUUAGUGGCUUGGGGAAAAUAGAAAGGGAGAAGUUUUUCUGGAAAAGAAAAGAAAAUAUGCUGAGGCUCAGAGGUGAAUCACACAUAAUGCACACAGCAGUUCAGUAUUGUGAUAACAUUUGGGACUGUGUGGGCCAACAGUUGCUGCAGGGCCUGAAUGGUGGAGAGGAGCAGCUUCAGUGGAGGUGUGUGUAUGUAUCUUAUCAUGAGGUCACAAUGGAGGUUGAGGUCAGCUACAGGAUGUGACAUUUGAGUUGGGUCACAAAGGAUGUACAGAAGUUUUUCAAGCCUGACCACAGUUAGUCUAGGCAGAAGCAAUUGCAAUUGUGAAAGGAAAUUGCGUGAAAGAAUGGUGUUUUUUGGCUGAGUGAAGAAUUUGAAGUAUCUGGAAAAUGGAGUAAGUGGCACAGAGAAAGAAAACAGCCAAAAGAAUACAUUGGUGAGAGUUCAGAGGGCAGCUUUCAGUUGGAUUUGGUGCAGUGCAAUUACUUUGUAAUAUUGUGCACCUUGUCCUUGUAGGCAGUUGAGGGCACUAGGGGCAGGAGUCUGGGGAAAGACAGGAGCAUUGAAGUUGUUGAGGGAGAAAUGUGAAGCAUGCGUUGGAAAGAUCACGAUGAAUAAACUUGAAUUGGAGGGGCCCUGGAUUGUAAAUGAAAACUAGAGGUAUGUCAUCUGUAUUGUGUAGGAUAUUGCUUAUCUAUAAAAAAUUCUAUAUAGAAUGCUCCCUUGUCAAAGUAACCCUUUGCAGCAAUAGCCAAGUAUAUCUGAUAUUAAAAAUUCUAAUUAACUAAAGGAUAUGCCUUGAUAACUAAACAUUUACUGAGAAGUUACUGUAUCACUGCCGCAUGUCAAUUCACUUUUUUUUCUUAGUAAGCCAGUGAUGUAGCCUGUCAUUUCUCCCAUUUUUCAACAGAGGAAAUUGUGGCCCAGAAUGGUCUAUGUGAUUCAUGGAGGUACUAAACGGCAGAGCUGAUGUUUUAGCCACGACCGUCUGGCUCCAAAGCCUAAAUGUAUGAAACGACCACUAAAGGCACCAUUGAAAAUACUAACAGUCACUGUGUUAGUGAGGAGGGAUAUUGAGCAAAAAGCUUUCAUUUUGCUUUUUUACAAUUCAGUGAUUUGUAAUUUAUUUACAGAGUCAUGUAAUUAUUACCUCAAUGUAAUUUUAGAACAUUUAAAGAUUCCAUGCUCAUUUGCCUCCCAUUCUCACCCCAACCCUAGAUAACAUCAUAUCUACUUUAGUGGUAAUCAGCUUGUAAAUGAAUGGUUGACUUUAGUUUAAUGACAUUUUUUUUUUUUUUCUUGAGGAGUGGCAAUCUGAUAGCCUUAAUCACAAAUUCAGGAGAAGAACAUUGUUUGGCCUUAUCAUUCCUAACUUCUGCAAGCUAUUUGUGUCCUCUUCAUAAUUUGAGGCAAAGAAGGUUAAACGUGACAGGCUUUGUGGCGGUCAUUGGUCAGAGGCAUCUGGGUUAGACUGCCUGAGACCCUACCCCAGAGUUCUGUCUUGCAGGUAAGGCCAAUGGACAAACUGUUAAGCAACACUGGAGAAAGCAAUUCUUGUAGAAAUCCUGAUGCUUUUGGCGAAGGGCUUAUGUUAAACUUCUCUCUGCUGGAAACCAUUGAAUUGUUUUUAAAAAUUUAGUAUGUAUGAAGCAUUUGGAAUGCUUGGCAUUUUGAGAAUAAAAUCCACAUCAAUUUAAAAUAAAAUAAAACUCCCCAUCCAGAAUAGAGUAGUAAUUGCAAGGCAUAAAAUAGCCCAGCUGUGGAGUGGCUUAAAGGACAAUUGGUCUGAGGCAGAGAUACCAGAUAGGACACGGCCACACAAAUGACUGUAAUGCCUGAAUUAGUGUACCUAUCGGGUAGCACAUAGAUCUGAAAUGGCUUAAAAUAAAAAUUGCAAAUGCACCAGAUUUAAUCAAUCUUUGUAUUUCUUUCUCUUUUGCUCUCAGUCCUUAGUUAAAAAUAAAAUUCCGCUGCCUCAUUCUCCUGUGUGAUAGCUAGUAGGAUUAACUGGAGUUCUCAACAGGAAAGCAAUAGAUCUAGUAGACAACAUUGUAUGGUGGGUGAAAGCCCGAUGGAGAUAAUUAUACAGUCACUCCCACUAUAUUACCCUUCAAAGAAACUGAGCCUAAUAUUCUCCUCCUAAGCAAUUUAACCAACUUCUAAAAAAAAGUCUAAGAUAUUAUUUAGAGAAUGAAAUAGCUACUGUAUAUAAUCAGGAGGGAGAAUUAUCAUUUGAUAAGUGUAUAAAGAGCUAUGCUCAAAGCUUUGUCUUGUACCUCCUAAGUAAUUGUUCAGUUGUGCUAACUGUCCUUAAAAAAGGAGAAGAGAUAAAGAACCGCUAAAGAAAAACUAAUCGUUACACUUGUUCAGUGAAAUUUUCCUUCUGGGCAAAGAUUAAGCCUUAUUUCACGCUCCAUAAGGAUCAAGCACACCUUUAGCCCUCACAUGUGUAGUGUUGGUGAUUUCUUUGCCUUUCUCACGUUCACGUUCCUGUGUAGACAUAGACGCCAAUAUGAAACUACAUGCCAUAAAAGUGUGUUUUAAGAUCUACCACGUGUACGUCCUACUAGGUAGAGAUGUUGUAUCUCUGUGUUCACUGCACUUACAUCCCAGUAUUUUCAGAAGAUACAACUGUAUGCAAAUGUUUUCAAUAUCCCUUUGUAGGGUCACCAAAAAAGAGCCCUUGAAGUCUACUUAUUUCAAAAAUGAGCUGGCAGUAACAUCAGAGUCAAUUUCCUUUUGGUUUGCUUUAAACAAAAUAAACAGCCCAUUACGUGAGCUGUAUAAGACUUAAGUGUUUGAGCACUUUGCUUAGAGUUUGUAAGUAUUGUGCUCCCACCAUCAAAAAGUAAGCAAAUAAAUAAUAAAAAGUGAAUCUAAUUGUUACUAUGUGAAGUCAUACAGCAUAUUUGCUGAGAGCAGCUCCUCUAAAGAUGUCAAAGUGCCUUAGAUGGAACACUGUAUCUUCCACUCACCAGCUGGGUAACAUUAACAGGCAGCUUAAUCUCUCCAUGCCUCAGUUUCUGACUUCAAAUGAUUGUGAUAAUACAGUGCCUGCAUCAUACGGUUGUGGAGACAUCAGUUAGGCACCGUUCCUCUCACACGUCAUCGAUUCUAAGACCCAUUCACGCGCUUAACGUUUCUGACUAAUUACUGUCAGUGGUAAUCAUGGCGUGGUUGUCAUUGUCUGCACGUGUACAUCAAAAUCUUUUGUCUAUGGAGAUCAGUGACUUUGAAGACAAUCCUGGAGUCAACAAUGGACCCCCUUUUUGUAAAAUUAAGACUCUCAAUGGCCCAGAGGUCAGUCUUAUGAGGAAAAACAUAGAACUUCAAUGAUUUUCACUUGAAAAGUAAUUCAAAGGGUUGAAAUUUAAACGUAAAGAAAUUUUUGGAAUGCUUUCACUUGUUGCAUUCACAUUUUUCUCUUUAUAUAUUAGAGGUGUGACAUACAAUACAAGCUAUGGAUAAAUAAUUUUAAGCCAUUUAUUUCAACAAAUACGUAAUAGAUAUUCUAACAACAAAGCUCUAUGUUAUAAUUUAAAUGGCAGUAAUCUUCGUUUCCAGUGUUGUAAUAGCUAAUGGUGUAUUUUAUAAUCAGUAGCAUCUUUGAUUUGAUGAGGGAGCGAAAUAAGAAGUCAAUAAAUGUUAGAGUCCUCAUUAAGGUUUGGGUAGAGGUUAAUUGUUGAUAAAUAUAUUAAUAGAGUUAAGGGUUCUAAGAAUUUUUAAGGUGAGUAGAGCUCAGUGAAAUCAUAUUUUGGAUUUACCAAAAGUCUACAGGAUUUGACUUGUAACUGUAUCAGUAUGACUUGCUGAAGUCCAUUCAAUAAAUAUUGUAUUAAAUUGGGCUGAAAUUCAUGUCUGCUAAAUAUGUAUCCUCAGCCCUUUUCUCUUCAUUAUGGGGAUUAAUUUGAAUGAUAGAGGUGAAAGCACUUUGUAAAUCCAAGUAAGAAUUAUUAGUAAGGAUAGUUCAGGUAAUGCUGUAAUAAAAAAUACUCUCCAAAUCUCAGUGCUAAAACCAAGGGUUUAUUUCUCACUUACGCUACCUGUUCAUCAUAGGUCAGAAGGAGUUCUUUGCAGACUAGUGGUUGUCAUCUCCAGCAUUUCUGACCUCUAUGCCAGGUAAAAGAGCUCUGAGCGUCUCAAACUGGCAAUUCCACACCCUGACCUGGGUGUAACACAUAUCACUUCUUACAGCUCCUUAGCCAAAGCUACUCACAUGACUCUAUCUAGCCAUAGGGUUGCCACAGAGCACAGAGCUGGAAAUAUGUGGAGAACAAUGCCGGUAACUCUGUAGUAGUAAUAAUGAUUAGCAAUCAUUGAGUGCUUCCUAGUACCAGGCACUGUUGUAAGCCUUUAUAUGGGUAGAGUCCUUUAGUCUUAAUUAAGUGGGUAUAAUCACGAUUCCCAUUGUACAGAUGAGAACCCAAGGUAUACAAAGGUAGACCAACCUGCACAGAAGAGGCAGAGCAGGGAUUUUGCUUGUGCAACAUUGAUGUGUGUCUCAAACUAUAAUGGUUCGGAAUGCAUUUUUUAAACUGUAAAAAGAAGAUACAAAUAUAGUUGAGGAUCUUCUGUUCUGAAAAUAAGGGAUGAGGUUAGGUGAUUGAUCCCCAAGCCUCCCUAACAUUUCACCUGGAUCUGUCUAAAAUGACCUACACUUAACUGCUGUGUUCUUUUGCCGCCACAUCUUCAGAAACCAGGGGCCCUCUCCUGGCCACUCUCUUACCUGAUAGCUCAGCAGAGGGGCAUUGUCCCAACAUUUCAGUAGAUACUUCCUCCUUCGAGGUAUUUAACCUUUCUGUUUUGGCAGUUUUCUAACAUAUAAAACAACAGUAGAGUGGCCACAGUCUACUCCAUUAUCAAUGAUCAAUACACAAUUAUCUAUACAUUCUCAAUCUUUCUUGCUUUCACUUUGCAAGUUAAUCUGGCUGCUCGUCAAGCUGAGCUGUGAACACAAAGUGUGUUCCUUGGGAUUGCAGGGUAUAAGGCUACUAAAACGGGGAGCCAGUGACUAGGGGAGGGCCAGAGAGGACAUGUGGAGGACAGAAUUGAAGAGCUUCAACUGGAAAAGAGGCCAUCUCUAAUCAAUAGUUUAGACAAGUUUGCAAGUGGAAGAUAAAUGAUAUGACAAUAUCUAAUCAUUCAUAGGACGUUCUUGCAAUGUAAGGGGGGAAGGAGAAAUAUGUUGUUAACAUUGUGCCAAAAUCAUUACCUUUCUCCCUACCUGCAGCUCUAAUCUCGCCUGCUAUGGAGGUAGGUAAUAAACGGAAGCCUGUGAGCUCUGUUCAGUGGGACAGCAAACAGAGAGGCUUCUUUCCAGCCUCUCCCACCAGGCCAAGAAGCAGCUGAGUUGGAUAGAAAGCACGCCUUCAGCACCCUGGGCUUCCUCUCAGCGGCAUCCGGAGGACCCUGGGUCACUUAACCUCCCUGUCUCUUUUUGGAAAACGCAUAUAAUAACCGUCUGGGUGACUCACACAUCUAUUAUAGCAUUUAAUUAACAAAUGUUCCUCAAGUGCUUUGAGCUCCCUGUUUGCAUAGAUGUGACUGAAAUGUAAAAUACCUUUCACUGCCUUAUUUAUUGCUCCAGCGAACACGCUAUAUGCUGGCACCAUUUAUCUUCAUUUUAAAUUUAUCUCCCACAAAUAUAGGCAUUAAUUUAAAUCACAUACAGAACAUAACAGUUUUUAUAGAGGCAAACUUAUUCCAGUGUGCUGCAUUUUAAUAUCGCACUUUACCAUCUUUUCUCACUUGAUUCAAGAAUAGUAUCUCUUCCUGCCUCAGCAUUUAAUCUUAGGACAACAGAAACUUUUUUGUGUGUGCGUGUUCUUGCUCUCAAACUCUGUUUCUCACUGCUUUGCUGCUUGUUGCCUGAAAGUUGUUUUGUCAGUGUGAGCACAGUGGUAAGUUGUUCCAUUUCUCUUUUGCCAGCUUAAUUUCCUGUGUGUGUGUGUGUGUGUGUUGGGGUGGGGGGCAGUUAAAAGGGGAUUGUAACAUGAUGGAUUUUACAGCUGAAGCUUAUACUCAUUCAGCUUUAGAUCCCAUUUCUGAUAGUGAUAAAGGCAAUAAAAUUGAUACCCCCUUUGUAAAAUUUACAUAUUAAAGACCCCUUUAAACUGCUCACUUUUUUUCUGUCUUUUUUUUUUUCAUUCAGAGACAAAAUUUCCCCUUUUUUCAUCACUGUUACAUUUGUGGCAGAUGAGUCUUUUCCCUGCGGGGAAUCAUGGUAAAUGGGCAUGCUGUAUUUAUGGCUAUGAAACAUUCCAGUUAGCUGCUACACCCUAAGCAAGGACGGUUUCCCCAUCCUUAAUUUGUGGCCUGAAAAGCUGUGGCUCUCCUCAAUUAAGACUUUCCAAAUUGCCUCUGACAUGGCAGCAUAUUCCCAGAAGUCAGGUCCGGGGAGGCAGUAAUAACAUGAGCAUCAUUCUAGAACCAUUUUGUGCUCUUUUCAGAAGCUUUUAGGAUGCUUUUUCUCCAAAGCGGUAAAUUAAAAAGAAAAAAAAAAAACUUAUUUUAAUUUUUUGUUUUUAUUUUUCCAGGUCUCUGAAUGUCUAGGUUCAGGGACAUCUGUCAUAGUCUUAUUUAUUUAUUUUACAUUUAGUCUGGAUUUAAAAUGUACCAAUUAAUGUUUAACUUCUCUGUUUUAUUCUUGAAACAACCCUACAAGAUGGGUAUCAUUAUUAUGUUCAUCUUACAGAUGAGGAAACAAGGCCUAGAGAAUUUAAGUAUUUUUUUCUGAAAUGGUACAGCUAGUAAGUGGCAGGGCUCAGAUUUUGGAUCCGGUCCACCUUAACUAAUUAUGCUUUUGAUGUAGCUCUCUUCAGGCUGAAUUCUUGACCUCUCGUUUGAUGCCUCCUCUUCCCAAACCCUUAGUCUUUGUGCUACUAGGUAGAUUUUUAUCUGUGGCAAGAACACGGUUACCCUGGAAACCCACUAGCUAGAAUGGCAAUCCAAUUAUAACACCACCACUUUUUUUAAAUUAAAUUAGCGCUGCUGAUGACGUGGAAUUCUUGAUUGAAGCAUGCUGAGAAAUGGGUUCUCACCACUUGUUCUUGCCUCUUAGGAUCAUAUGGGCUCAUUCUCAUCUAUUCUAUCAAACCAAACAAAAAAAUGCCUCUAUGUGACUGAUUGACCGGAUUUAGGGAAUAAAAUGUGAUGAUCUUUUUGGACCCUGAGCUUUCAGUAGUGACUAGAGAUGCAUGCAAGUGUUUGGAAAGAGGCGCUGUUGAAGAAGAAGCCUGUCAUCUGAAUCCUUUCUACCCCGCAAGGACACCAGGGUCUGCUGAUUUAGAGCCCUGCUCUUAAGUACUGAGGCUAGUGCUCUCUAUUUUAGUGAUUCUUAUUUCAUUUCAGGUCACUGGUUUAAAUCCAGACUUGAUUCAGGAAAGGUUGUAGCCUUUUGAUAUUCUUUGGUCUUCACAGACUUCUAAUAGGGCAGGAAUUUGCUUUGGUUCAAACCAAUUGGUGAAUUUUCUUUUAAGUACACAGAAUUUAAACAAUCGAAUUAAUAUAGCCACUGUUGAGCCAAGUGGCACCAGGUUGUGGGAAAGGAUAUUCAUUAUAUAAGCUAGUGUGUUGUGGGCUCACUCUCUGAGAUGGUAAAUGGUAGGCUGGUAGAAUGUUGAGUUAUUUCCUUCUGCAUAACACACAGGUGCCAGGCAUGUGACCUCGUACCUCUAUGACUUUCGUCAACUUCAUUUUCCAUUUUGUAGAGUAGGUAAAGAUAAAGAGAAGGGCUUGCUCAUUUGCAGGGCUAUUUUGUGAUGAGGAAUUUUGAAUACAGGAUUCCUAACUUACAGUCCAGCGCUCUUUGCUUUAUACCACCAAGUCACCACAGAGUCUCAGGGCCUGUCCUCUGUAUUGCAGAAAACAAA